GACGAACGCUGGCGGCGUGCUUAACACAUGCAAGUCGAACGGAAAGGCCUUUUCGGAGGUACUCGAGUGGCGAACGGGUGAGUAACACGUGGGUGAUCUGCCCUGCACUCUGGGAUAAGCCUGGGAAACUGGGUCUAAUACCGGAUAGGACCGCACUUUAGUGUGUGUGGUGGAAAGUUUUUUCGGUGUAGGAUGAGCCCGCGGCCUAUCAGCUUGUUGGUGGGGUAAUGGCCUACCAAGGCGGCGACGGGUAGCCGGACUGAGAGGUUGGUCGGCCACAGUGGGACUGAGAUACGGCCCAGACUCCUACGGGAGGCAGCAGUGGGGAAUAUUGCACAAUGGGCGCAAGCCUGAUGCAGCGACGCCGCGUGGGGGAUGACGGCCUUCGGGUUGUAAACUCCUUUCGCCAGGGACGAAGCGUUUUGUGACGGUACCUGGAGAAGAAGCUCCGGCUAACUACGUG
rnacentral:rRNA from 1 species